CACUGCUUGGUGGGAAUCACCCACUGCUGAGAGUGUGACAGGAACAAACCUCUGUGGCUGUGACUGUCCCCAACACCCCCAGAGUUCCCUGGGGGGGGUGUCAGUGCUCUGCCCAGGGAGACAAGGAGAAAGGGGCUGAUGUUUGGUGCCCAGUAAAUCUGAAGGGCUUUAAUCCAGUCCUGACUCACCUGUUGGGAGCUGGGAGCAGGGGUGGGAUCCGUGCUGGGGCUGCCACGGCUUCACCUGGAAGUGUGGAUGGACCCAGAGCACAACCAAAGAGCCUCAGUCACCACCCCCUGCUCCUGGGGGGGCCCAUCCCUGAGGGAAUGGAGCCGGGAGAACCAGCUGGGAGAUGUGGCCUAUGGAAAAACCUCCUUGUCCAGGCAGUGCUGCUCCCCACGGGUGACAUUCCUUGGGGAAACACGGGCAGCAGUGGGUUUUCCUUCUCUUUUGGUGUGGCAGCCUCGUGUCUGGCAAGCUGAGAGUUUACACCCCACCCCCCCACCCCAUCUACCCCAAAGCUCAGACUUGAGUUCAAAAGUUCAAAACUUGAGUUCAAAAGUUCAAAACUUGAGUUUAGAAGUUUAAAACUUGAGUUUAAAAGUUUUAAAACUUAAGUUUAAAACUUAAGUUUUAAAUUGUUUUCUCCUCUGGUGGAUUAUCUGGCAUGAAAUCCCCAAUCCCUGUAAUAAAUAUUCAGAUGAUAAUAUAUACAAAGCAAGAAAAAAAA